rnacentral:tRNA from 1 species
GGAAGGGUGGCAGAGCGGCUGAAUGCGUUUGUCUCGAAAACAAAUUUACGGGUGACCGUAACGGGAGUUCGAAUCUCCCCCCUUCCG